CCUGUCAGGUGGCAGGCAGAACAAGAGCCAUUUCACCAGUGGGAAGAGCCCCAAGGAUGCAGCCCGGACCGCUUGCUCUCUUGUGCACAGUCUUGGCCUUCGUCUGCUUUGGUUCCAGCAAUACCCAGACGGUCAUUCAACCUACAAGUGUGGUGUAUAGGCAAGAGGGAGACUCUGUGACCUUGGACUGCAAAAUCACAGUCAGUUAUGCUUACUAUGUGAUGUACUGGUAUCAACAGCUUUCCACUGGAGAGAUGACUUACAUCAUUCGAAUAUAUUCUACAAGCAGGAACUCAAGGGAAGGACGAUAUUCUGUGGUGUUUCAGAAACCAACCCUAAAGCUCACCAUCUCAGCCUUGACGUCUAGAGACUCAGCUGUCUAUUUCUGUGCUGUUGUAGAAGUAUCGCACGGCAUUGUUUACCACAUAUCUUUCAAAUGCCUGAAUCAUUUCACCUACAAUGGAAUUCUCUUCCACCAGGUCUUCCUCACACCAUACCCAUCAGUGAAAUCUUCAGCAGUUGGGCCUCCAUCUUGUGCAAGCGACUGUUGA